GUGAGAAUAGCUCACUGGUAGAGUGUAUGCUUAGCAUGCAUGAGGUCCUGGGUUCAAUCCCCAGUACCUCCA
rnacentral:tRNA from 1 species